rnacentral:rRNA from 1 species
AACCAUGGUAAUUCUAUGGCUAAUACAUGCGCAAAUGCCUCCUUCUCUGGAGGGGCUGUGUUUAUUAGAUACAAAACCAACCCACUUUUGUGGAGUCCUGGUGAUUCAUAGUAACCAAACGGAUCGCAUUUGGCUUCGGCCCGCGAUGGAUCUUUCAAGUUUCUGACCUAUCAGCUUUCGACGGUAGGGUAUUGGCCUACCGUGGCAGUGACGGGUAACGGGGAAUUAGGGUUCGAUUCCGGAGAGGGAGCCUGAGAAACGGCUACCACAUCUAAGGAAGGCAGCAGGCGCGCAAAUUACCCAAUGAAAACAGUUUCGAGGUAGUGACGAGAAAUAACAAUACAGGGCAUUUUAUGCUCUGUAAUUGGAAUGAUGGGAAUGUAAAACCCUUCCAGAGUAACAAUUGGAGGGCAAGUCUGGUGCCAGCAGCCGCGGUAAUUCCAGCUCCAAUAGUGUAUAUUAGAGUUGUUGCAGUUAAAAAGCUCGUAGUUGGAUUUCUGCUGUGGUCAUCCGGUACCGCCCGUAUGGGUGCGCACCUGGUUUGGCUCCGGCUUUCUUCCUGUAGCCGUCCGCGCUUAAUUGCGUGUACUGUGUUACGGAACUUUUACUUUGAGAAAAAUAGAGUGUUUCAAGCAGGCUUGUCGCCCUGAAUACUUCAGCAUGGA